AUGAAUUAUGAGUUUAAUAGAUCCUAUUUAGCAGAAAGACGUAUAUUCCUUGCUCAUUAUCAGACAAUCACUUAUUCCCAAACCUCGUGUGGGACUAAUUGUUUUCAUUUACCAUCUCAUGGAAAACCCUUUUCGUUCCGCUUAGCCCUAUCGGGUAUUUUAGUGAUAGGUUCUGUAGGAACUGGACAAUCCUAUUUGGUCAAAUACCUAACAAAAAAUUACGAUUUUCCGUUCAUUAAGGUACAAGGGCUUCUUAUUCCACAAGAACGAAAGCACCUUUUCAUUCUUUCAUAUACUGGGGGUUUUUACCUUGUAAAGACAAUGUUCCAUACUAAAGGAUUUGGGUCCAGAACCACGAGUUCUAGUGCACUAGAUCUUGUAGCACUUAGCAACGAAGCCCUAUCCAUUAGUAUUCCACAUAAGAAAUCCAUUCUAGAAAAAAAAUACAAUUAG
rnacentral:rRNA from 1 species